rnacentral:rRNA from 1 species
CAGUAGCCGCGGUAAUACAGAGGGUGCGAGCGUUAAUCGGAUUUACUGGGCGUAAAGCGUGCGUAGGCGGCUUUUUAAGUCGGAUGUGAAAUCCCUGAGCUUAACUUAGGAGUUGCAUUCGAUACUGGGAAGCUAGAGUAUGGGAGAGGAUGGUAGAAUUCCAGGUGUAGCGGUGAAAUGCGUAGAGAUCUGGAGGAAUACCGAUGGCGAAGGCAGCCAUCUGGCCUAAUACUGACGCUGAGGUACGAAAGCAUGGGGAGCAAACAGGAUUAGAUACCCCAGUAGUCCCUGUCUCUUAUAC